CUUAGCUGCCACGCUGUAGAGACCCAAGCCACAUGAAGAAACCAUGUAGCCUCGAAUAUUAAAUGUGAGAAUUGAGGAUUAUUUUUUACACUUUAUAUUGGAGAAAAUGUGUCACCCCAAGAAGCUUCUUCAGGAAGGAAAAAAUCCACAGUGAGCUCCCCAAAACUACUGCAAACAGUUUAAAUUUAACUGACACUCAGAGUCAAAAUCUGAAAAUCAAGCAGAUGCCGUGCUGAAUCUAGAGAAAGGAAGACAGAGACUGGAGUGCAAGCUUACGCUACUCUACUGUAUGUCUGCAGUGAGAGAGGAAACUAAAAUGUCCAGUUCAGCUCACGAAGUGAAUGAACCUGCACCUGGCAGUUCGCCUGUGUGGGAGAGCGGGGCUGGAAUCCGCAGACAGUGCCCUGGCAGAAUAGAUCUGAUGACUGAGAUCUAUCAGAGAAAGGUUUCACAGCAUCUCACGUGGCUCUCUCUGGAUGACAAAGAUCAAUGGAAAAAGAAUAAUGACAGAAAAGGAGGAACAAGAAUGAAAAAACUACAUAAACAGAAACUAUGAGAUGAGUUGUAUACCUUGUUAAGAAUAAAUUGGAAACUCAAAUAUUUGUUGAUACUACCCAGAUUUCUGACUCCAC
rnacentral:lncRNA from 1 species